rnacentral:piRNA from 1 species
UGGAAACCAGGAGCUGGGAAUAUUCUUCAUG